CCAUGGCCCCUCUCUCGCGCAAUCCCCUCUUCCGACUUAGGGCUCCUCCGGCGUUCAACUACGCCGUCGUCGACUUACGACCGGCGACACGAUGGGAUGGGCUUUGCAGCCCCGUUUAACGGCGUCCUUGAGAGCCAAGACUCUCUCCACCCAUGGGAGUCGAAAACAAGGGAGGUUCUCGGCCUCUUGGACCCGAUUUGGACGACGGAGGAGAGACCCUCCGACGACGGAACCAAGGCCACUUCCGGUGAGUUCCCUCUCCCUUUAUUUUGAUUUUCGAUUUUUAGUUACUUGAAAUAGAUUUGCAAAAGAAAAAAAUAUAAAAUAAAAUAAGAUAAAACAAAUAAGUAAGAGAAAAUAAAAAGGAAAUCGCUAGGAUUCAACCUUUGAAAACUCUAUUCUGUUUGAUUUCUUGAUGUGCAUUCCUUUUUACCAAAAAAAAUCCCUCUGUUACAGUUCAUAUUCGGCUUAUAUAGCCGAUUCUCCCUUUCUAUUUUUCAUUUGCAUUUUUUUUUAUUAUUUUGUCUUGGCUGUUGCGUGUUUCUUUUCUUUUGCAGGUGGAGCAGGUGGCUGAACAGUGCAGGCGCCGAUGGGACGUGCGGUGGUGGCGGCAGGUCAAGUGGCCGACCCUAGGUGCGGCACACAUAGGGUUAGGUUUAUUGUUUUGUUUCUGAUUUUGGCUAAUUGGGUUAGUGUGUUGGUAGUUGGGCUUGUAUUUGUUGGGCUUUGGGUGUUGUAAUUGGGUAGUUUUAUUUUGUGUUUAAUUGGGCCUCGGGCAAAAUGGCCUGCAACACCCUUCAAUGAGAAUAAGAACAUAUAUUAUAUCUAAGUCAAUCUGACGGUCAAUGAUGGAGAUUAGAGAAAAAAAUAGUUUGGAUUUUGAUUCGUAAAUUAGUAACGUUCAAAGUUGUUUAAUGAAAAGAAUUAAACUAUAAAAGAAAAAGAAAACGAG
rnacentral:lncRNA from 1 species